rnacentral:rRNA from 1 species
GGCAAAAUGAGAGCCCAACUGUCUCUUAUAACAAAUCAAUUAAACUGAUCUCCUAGUACAAAAGCUAGGAUUCCACCAUAAGACCAGAAGACCCUGUGAAGCUUUAAUCAACUUAUUAAACCCCAUAAUAAUUAAUUUUGGUUGGGGCGACCUUGGAACAAAAAAGAACUUCCAAAUAAUGACUCCUCAUAUAAAAGGCAAACAAGCCGUAAUUAGACCCAGUAUACCUGACAAAUGAACCAAGUUACUCCAGGGAUAACAGCGCCAUCUUCUUCAAGAGCCCAUAUCAAAAAGAAGGUUUACGACCUCGAUGUUGGAUCAGGACAUCCUAGUUAUGCAACCGUCUCUAAGGGUUCGUUUGUUCAACGAUUAACAGUCCUACGUGA